rnacentral:rRNA from 1 species
AGUGAACGCUGGCGGUAGGCCUAACACAUGCAAGUCGAACGGCAGCACAGUAAGAGCUUGCUCUUACGGGUGGCGAGUGGCGGACGGGUGAGGAAUACAUCGGAAUCUACUUCUUCGUGGGGGAUAACGUAGGGAAACUUACGCUAAUACCGCAUACGACCUACGGGUGAAAGCAGGGGAUCUUCGGACCUUGCGCGAUUGAAUGAGCCGAUGUCGGAUUAGCUAGUUGGCGGGGUAAAGGCCCACCAAGGCGACGAUCCGUAGCGGGUCUGAGAGGAUGAUCAGCCACACUGGAAAUGAGAGACGGUCCAGACACCUACGGGAGGCAGAAGUGGGGAAUAUUGUGCAAUGGGGGCAAGCCUGAUGCAGCACCAUCGCGUGUGUGAAGAAGGGCUUCUGGGUGUAAAACCCUGUUUUUGGGGAAGAAAAGAGGGGGAGGUAAAUGCCCCCAUUUUGACGGUACCCAAAAAGAAAGCCCCGGCUAAAUUCGUG